rnacentral:SRP_RNA from 1 species
UAUUAAUGCCAUUGCGCGUAUCUUUUAGCGAACCAGGUCAGGACCGGAAGGUAGCAGCCUUAAGUUAGAAAUGCGGUGCAGUGGUUUUUUAAAUAUG